rnacentral:lncRNA from 1 species
AGCAGAGUGCUUAGCCUGAGGAUAGCUCAGAGCCCAGCAAGGAGGGCUGGGAUUCACACUGAGCACGUGUGUCUCCCUCGGCUUGGGCUAUUUUCUAGGAUGGACUACCUGAAAUUCAUCAGGUCCACAUCCAUAUGUGUGAAACUGCAUGAGGAGGACAUGGAAUGAUGCCACAUAUCUUGCUACAAAUAUGUAUAAACAGUUGCGAUCAAGGUUAAAAACAAAGAAGCUUUGGACAAAAUUGAACUCAAAAGAAUCCAGUACUUCAAACAUAAAAAGAAUCAUAUACCCUGAUAGUGAGGGUUUCUGGACCUAGAUAAGUCGGACUGAAAAGAAAAAGGCCUGUCAAAACAAACAGGAAAAAAAAAAGUGUGGGCAAUGGGAAAAUCUGACCUGGAAGGAGGUCAGGUCCAAAACAGAGAUAUGGGCCUAGGCCUAUCCCUGCCCCCAGAAGAGGCCCAGGCCAAAAGCAAAAAGUGAUGUGGGCCUGGGCCUGUCCCUGAACCUUGAAGAGGCCUGGACCAAAAGCAAGAAGUGAUGUUGACCGGGACAAAUCCCUGACCUUUGAAGAGACCUGGCAUAAAGAAAGAAGUAAUGUGGGCUUGGGCCUAUACCUAACUUUGAGAGGCCCUGGCCAAAAGCAAGAAUUGAUGAAGGCCUGGACCUAUCCCUGACCCAUGAAGAGGCCCAGGCCAAAAGCAAGGAGUGAUGUGGGCUUGGGCUUAUCCCAGACAAUUGAAGAGGGCCGGGCCGAAAAAAAAAAUGAUGUGGGCCUGGACCUAACCCUGACCCUUGAAGAGGCCUAGGCCUAUCCCUAAAGUUUGAAGUGAUGGGGGCCUGGGCCUAUCCCUGAAGUUUGAAGAUGACCAGGCCUAAAGGAAGAAGUGAUGUGGGGAUUGGCCUAUCCCUGACCCUUGAAGAGGCCCAGGCCAAAAGAAAGAAGAGAUGAGGGCCUGGGCCUAUCCCUGCCCUUGAAGAGGUAUGGGCCAAAAGCAAGAAGUGAUGAGGCCCUUGGCCUAUCCCUGACCCUUGAAGAGGCCUGGGCCUAAAGCAAGAAGUGAUGGGGUCCUGGGUCUAUCCCUGAAGUUUGAAGAGUCCUGGGCCCAACACAAGAAGUGAAGUGGGCCUGGGCCUAUGCCUGACCUUUGAAGGGCCUUGGGACAAAAGGAAGAAGUGAAGGGGGCAUUGGCCUAUCCCCGACACUUGAAGAGGUCUGGUCCUAAAAAAGAAGUGAUGUGUGCCCGGGCCAAUUCCUGAACAUUGAAGUUCCAGGCCAAAAGCAAGGAGUGAUGUGGGCCUGGGCCUAUCCCUGACAUUUAAAGAGGCCUAGGCCCAACACAAGAAGUGAAGAGGCCCUGGGCCUAUCCCUGACCCUUGAAGAGGCCCGGGCCUAAAGAAAGGAGUGAUAUGUGCCCGGGCCUAUUCCUGAACGUUGAAGAGGACCAGACCAAAAGCAAAAAAGAUGAGGGCCUGGGCCAAAAGCAAGAAGUGAUAUGGGCCUGGGCCUAUCCCUGAAAUUUAAAGAGGCCUGGUUCCAAUACAACAAGUGAAGAGGGCCUGGGCCUAUCCAUACCUGAUUCUCUUUCCCAUCUCUCUUGUAUUCUUUUGCUGAUGCUUGCAUCUGUGAUUCCUGAUUUCCUUCCUAGAAUUUCUAUCUCCAGAGUUGUCUCCUUUUGAAUUUCCUUCAUUGUUUCUACUUCCAUUUUUAGAUCUUGGAUGGUUUUGUUCAAUUCCAUCAUCUCUUUGGUUGUGUUUUCCUGUAAUUCUUUAAGGGAUUUUUUUUUUGUUUCCUCUUUAAGUACUUCUACCUGUUUAGCAGUGUUCUCCUAUAUUUCUUCAAGUGAGUUAUUAAUGCCCUUUUUAAAAUUCUCUACCAUCAUCAUGAGAUAUGAUUUUACAUCUGAGUCUUGCUUUUUAGGUGUGUUGGGGUGUCCAGGACUUGCUGUGGUGGGAGUACUGGGUUCCAAUGAUCCUGAGUGGUCUUGGUUUUUGUUAGUAAUAUUCUUACCUUUGCCUUUUGCCAUCUGGUAAUCUCUGGUGUUAGAUGUUCUAGCUGUCUCUGGCUCAUGCUUGUUCCUCCUGUGAUUCUGUUAGUCUCUGUCAGCACUCCUGGGAGACCAACUCUGUCCUGAGUCCCAGUGGUCAGAGCACUCUCUGCAGACAAGCUCUCCUCUAGAAGGGAACAUGCACAGAGGUCUGGAACUCUGAUCCACCUCCUGGCUGAAGAUGAAGGCCCGAAGGGACCCUUUCCAAGAAGCUCUGUUGCUUCUGAGGCCUACAUGCUCUUCUGCACAGACUGGUCUAUGAGAGAUCUGGGAUACAAGAUGUUCUCAUCUGGGUCCCAGGGUCAGAGCCCUCCCUGGAGGCUGACUCUCCUUUGGCAGGGAAGGUGCCCAGAGCUGGGUCUCAGCUCUGCCUCCUGGCUGAGGAUGAAGGUCCAAAGGACCACUGUCCAAGAAGCUCUGUUGCUUCUGCGGCCCAUGUGCUCGCCUGCAUGGACUGUUUUCUCAGAGACCCGGGAUACAAGAUGGCAAUCUCGCCUGAGUCCCAGGGUCAGAGCUGUCUCUGGAGGCCGACUCUCCUCCAGAAGACCUUAUAUUGUUGAGCAUAUUUUUCGUUAUCCUGGGCUUUGUCUGUUUUGUUUUGUUUUGUUUUGUUUUGUUUUGUUUUUUGUUACUCCAGAAGAAGUUGAAAAUUGCCUCUUCUAACACUAUACAGAACUGAGUUGGAAUCUUGAUGAGAACUACAUUGAAUCUGAAUACUGCUUUCAGCAAGAUGGUCAUUUUUGCUAUAUAAAUUCUGGCAGUCCAUGAGCAUGGGAGAUCUUUCCAUCCUCUGAGGUUUUCUUCCAUUUCUUUCUUAAGAGACUUGAAGUUAUUAUUAUACAGAUCAAUUGUUUGGUUAAAGAUACACCAAGAUAUUUUAUAUAGUUUGUGGCUAUCUUGAAGGGUGUCAUUUCCUUAAUUUCUAUCUCAGCCUGUUUAUCCUUUGAAUAUAGGAAGGCUACUUAUUUGUUUGAGUUAAUUUUAUAUCCAGCCACUUUGCUGAAGUUGUUUAUCAACUGUAGGAGUUCUCUGGUGGAAUUUUUGGGAUCACUUCAAUAUACUGUCAUAUCAUCUGUAAAUAGUGAUAGUUUGAGUCCUUCCUUUCCAAUUUGUAUCCCUUUGAACUACUUUUGUUGUCUAAUUGCUCUGUCUAGAACUUCGAGUACUAUAAUGGAUAGAUAGGGAGAGAGAGGGCACCCUUGUCUAGUCCCCGACUUUAGUGGGAUUGUUUCAAGUUUCUCUCCAUUUAGUUUGAUGUUGGCUACUAUAGUUUGUUGUAUAUUGCUUUUACUAUGUUUAGGUAUAAACCUUGAAUUUCUGAUCAUUCCAAGUCUUUUAACAUGAAGGGAGGUUGAAUUUUGUCCGCAUAUAAUGAAAUCAUCAUGUGGUUUUUUUUCCGUUAAGUUUAUUGAUGAAGUGGAUUACAUUGGUGGAUUCCUGUAUACUGAACCAUCCCUGCAUCCCUGGGAUGAAGCCUACUUGAUCAUGGUGAAUAACGGUUUUGAUGUGUUCUUGGAUUUAGUUGUCAAGAAUUUGAGUAUUUUUGCAUCGAUAUUCAUAAAGGAAUUUGGUGUGAAGUUCUCUUUGUUGGGUCUUCGUGUGGUUUUCUACUCAUCAUAAUUGUGGCUUCAUAGAAUUAAUUGGGUAGUGUUCCUUCUGUUUCUCUUUUGUGGAAUAGUUUGAAGAGUAUUGGUAUUAGAUCUUCUUUGAAGGCCUGAUAGAAUUCUGCACUAAACCAAUCUGGUCCUAGUUUUGUUUUUGUUUUUUGUUUUUUUUUCUGAGGUUGUUAUUGUUUUUUGGUUUUUGUUUGUUUGUUUUUGUUUUUGGUUGGAAGAGUUUUGAUGACUGCUUCUUUUUCUUUAGGGGUUAUAUGACUGUUUAGAUGUUUUAUCUGAUCCAGAUUUAAUUUUGGUAUUUGGUAUCUGUCUAGAAAAUUGUCCAUUUCAUCCAGAUUUUCCAGUUUUGUUGAAUAUUGGCCUUUGUAGGAGGAUCUGAUAGUUUUUAAAAUUUCCUUAGUUUCUGUUGUUAUACCUCCCUUUUUAUUUCUGAUUUUGUUAAUUUGGAUACUGUUUUUGUGCCCUCUGGUUAGUUUGGAUAAGGGUUUAUCUAAUUUGUUGAUUUUCUCAAAGAACCAACUCCUGAUUUGAUUGAUUCUUUGUAUAGUUCUUUUGGUUUCUACUUCAUUGAUUUCAUCCCUGAGAUUGAUUAUUUCCUGCAGUCUAUACCCUUUGAGUGUAUUUAAUUGUUUUUUUUCUAGAGCUUUCAGAUGUUGUGUUAAGCUGCUAGUGUAUCCUCUCUCCAUUUUCUUUUUGGAGGUAUUCAGAGCUAUGAGUUUUCCUCUUAAGACUGCUUUCAUUGUGUCCCCUAAGUUUGGGAAUAUUGUGGUUCAUUUUCAUUAAAUUCUAAAAAUUCUUUAAUUUCUUUCUUUAUUUCUUCAUUGACAAAGUUAUCAUUGAGUAGAUCAUUGUUCAACUUCCAUGUAUAUGUGGGAUUUCUGUGUUGUUGCUAUUGAAGACCAGCCUUAAUCCGUAGUGAUCUGAUAGGAAACAUGGGAUUAUUUUAAUAUUCUUAUAUCAGUUGAAGUCUGUUUUAUGACCAAUUUUAUGGACAAUUUUGGACAAGAUACCAUGAGGUGCUGAGAAGAAGGUAUAUUCUUUUGAUUUAAGAUGAAGUGUUCUAUAGAUAUCUGUUAAAUCUAUUUGGUCCAUAACUUCUGUUACUUUCAAUGUGUCUCUUUUUAUUUUGUGUUUCCAUGAUCUGUCUAUUAUUGAGACUGGGGUGUUGAAGUCCCCCUUUAUUAUUGGGUGAGGUGCAAUGUGUGCUCUGACCUUGAGUAAAGUUUCUUUUAUGAACGUGGGUGCCCUUGCAUUUGGAGGAGAGUUGUUCACAAUUGAAAGUUCUUCUUGGUAGAUUUUUCCUUUGAUGAGUAUGAAAUAACCCUCCUUAUCUUUUUUUGAAGGCUUUUGGUUGAAAGUCAAUUAUAUCUGAUACUAGAAUGGCUACUCAGCCUGUUCUUUGGAACCAUUUGCUUAGAAAAAAUUUUUAAAGCACUUUAAUCAGAGAUAGUGUUUAUCUUUGACAUUGAUGUGGGUGUUCUAUAUGCAGCAAAAUGCUGAGUCCUGUUUAUGUAUCCAGACUGUUAGUCUAUGUAUUUUUAUUAUAGAAUUGAGUCCAUUGAUGCUAAGAGGUAUAAAGAAAAAGUGAUUGUUGCUUCAUGUUACUUUUGAUGUUAUUUUUUUGUUUGUGUGGUUAUCAUCGUUAGGGUUUGUUGAAAGAAGAUGACUUUCUUUCUUUUUCUACAGUGUAGUUUCCUUCUUUAUGCUGGGGUUUUCCAUCCAUUAUCCUUUAUAGGGAUGGACUUGUGGAAAGAUAUUAUGUAAAUUUGAUUUUGUCAUGGAAUAUCUUGGUUUCUCCAUCUAUGGUAAUUGAGAGUUUUGCUGGGUAUAAUAGUCUGGGCUGGCAAUUGUGUUCUCUUAGGGUCUGUAUGAGAUCUUCCCAGGAUCUUUUAGCUUUCAUAGUCUCUAGUGAGAAGUCUAGUGUAAUUCUGAUAGGUCUCUCUGUAUAUGUUAAUUGACAUUUUUCCCUUAGUGCUUUUAAUAUUCUUUCUUUUUUUCUGUGCAUCUGGUAUUUUGACUAUUAUGUGACUGGAGGAAUUUUUAUCUGGUCCAAUCUAUUUGAAGUUCUGUACACUUCUUGUAUAUUCAUGGGCAUGUCCUUCUUUAGGAUAGAGAGGAUUUCUUCUAUAAUUGUGUUGAAGAUAUUUACUGUCCCUUAAUUUGGGAAUCUUUACUCUUUUCUAUACCUAUUAUCUUUAAGUUUGGUCUUCUCAUUAUGUCUUGGAUUCCUGGAAAUUUAGUGUUAGGAGCUUUUUGCAUUUUGCAUUUUCUUUUAUUGUUGUAUCAAAUGUUUUCUAUGGUAUCUUCUGCACCUGAGAUUCUCUCUUCUAUCUCUUGUAUUCUGUUGAUGAUGCUUGCAUCUAUGACUUCUGAUCUCUUUUCUAGGUUUUAUAUCUCCAGUGUUGUCUCCCUUUGUGAUUUUUUUUAUUAUUUCUUUUUCCAUUUUUAGGUUCUGGAUGGUUUUAUUCAGUUCUUUCACUGUUUGGUUGUGUUUUCCUAAUUCUUUAAGGGAUUUUUGUGUUUCCUCUUUACGGUCUUCAACUGGUUUACAUGUGUUCUUUUGUAUUUCUCUAAGGAAUUAUUUAUGUCCUUCUUAAAGUCCUCUAUCAUCAUCAUGAUAUGUGAUUUUAAAUCAGUGCCUUGCUUUUCUGGUGUGUUGGGGUAACCAGGGCUUGCUGUGGUUGGAGAACUGGGUUCUGAUGAUGCCAACUAGCUUUGGUUUCUCUUGCUUAUGUUCUUGCCCUUGCCUUUCCCUACAUGGUUAUUUCUAGUGUUGGCUGGUCUUGCUGUCUUUGACUGUCACUUGUCAGUUCAACGAGCUUGUGUUCAGUACUCCUGGGAGACCAGUUUUCUCCUGAUGGUAUUUGUGUAUGUAGCUCUGUGACACCGAUCAGCUCUGAGAGCAGACAGAAACUGAAAGCUCCUAUACCAGGCUACUCUUCAUUUCCUGUGUCCUUAGGGUUCCGGUUGGGUUCCUCUGAGCAGCAGUGGUGGUCUUACCUGUACUCACAGGCUUGUCUGCACUCCUGGGAGGGUAGCUUUCUCCUGGAGCUAUUUGGGUAUGGAGACCUGUGGCAGAUGAUUGGCUCCAGGCACAGUCAGAAACCAGAAGCCAGAACAUAUUUCUUAACUUUGGAAAAAAAACACCUUACUUUGAGAAAAUCUUCAAUCUACCACAAAACAUAAAAAUUGUAGAACAAUGGUGUGUCACCACCUGAAAUAUAAAUAAAUAAAGAGGUCCUCAAUAUCCAAUGUGUGGCUCUUGUAUCAUGAGGGCCUGAUAGACAUAUGUGUGACACCUUACCCAAUAUGUGUCUGAUUUUCUGAACUAGAUAUGCAAAAUGCGAAGGCUUGUGAUUAGCUGUGGCACAACAUUGAUGAGUCUUAAAGUAGAAGCAAUAGUUUUAUCGUCAACCUUAGCAGAUGAAACUCUUAUACUGGUGAAGUCUGCCACUGGUAGUGAUGAGGAUUUACAAUUUUACUUGUCUUUCAUCUUGAUGUAGUAUUCAAGAACCCACAGACUCCAAAAGCAAUAUCACCUGCGGAAGAGGAUUUCAUCCACAAGCCUGGGACACACAUCAACCUGAAUGGGCAGUCCAGCCCUAAGCUGCUAACCAGUGAGGGAGACAUCUGCCCACUUAAAAACUUCUGUCGCAGGUAAGGAGCACCUAUGAGUCUAAUCACCAGGCUCUGACAAAUGUAUAUAGAGGUCUAGAAAAAGGUGAGCUUAGACUGUAAGGAAGAGCAAAGCUUCAGCAGACUCAGGAGAGAUAGAUGAUAGUGAAAAUAGAGAUGAAAGAGAUUAGAGAGGUCCAAGAUGAGAGAGAUACCCCGAAUGAGAAACAUUUAGAGUAGAACCAGUAAGUAAGAGGUAGAGAAGGCGUAUUACGAGAGAGAGAGAGAGAGAGAGAGAGAGAGAGAGAGAAAAGAGAAAACAGCAGGGAUAAUAGACAAGAAAGAAAUUUGACUAGAAACUUUGCCACAGUGGUAGGAGAGAAACAAAAGACAAGAUCUAGACAGGAAAUCUGGGCAACAGAAGACAGAGCCUCAGCUAAAAAGGCUCAGCUGUGUCAGAUUGAAGUUACUUAUUUGGGAUACACCCUUCGAGAUGGGAAGCAGUGGCUAAAGAAAGCCAGAAAAAAGACUGUAACUCAGAUCCCCACCCCAACUACACCAAGGCAAGUAAGAAAAUUGUUGGGCACCGUUGGUUUCUGCAGGCUCUGGAUACCUGGGUUGGUGACUUUAGCUGCCUGUUGUACUCCCUAACCAAGGAAGGGGAAGUGUUUGUGUGGACCCCAGAUCACCAGAAAGCCUUUAGAGAAAUGAAAAAGGCCCUACUGAUGACCAGCCUUUGCCUGACCUAACCAAGCCUUUCACUCUUUAUGUGGAAGAGAGAUCAGGGGUCACCAAAGGAGUCCUUACUCAGACUUUUGGACUUUGAAAAAGGCCAGUGGCUUACCUACCCAAGGAGUUAGACCCUGUUGCCAGCGGGUGGGUUUCUUGCCUGAAAGCUAUUGCUGCCAUAGCUCUGCUUGUCAAGGAUGCUAAUAAGCUCACUCUGGGACAGCAAAUAACUGUAGUGGCACCCCAUACUCUUGAAAGCAUUAUCUGAAAGCCCCCUGACUGAUGGAUGAUGACCAGUGCUCCUGUGACACAUUAUCAGAGCUUUUUCUUGACUGAACGAGUGACCUUCGCUCCACCUGCUGUCCUCAAUCUCGCUACCCUACUGCCCAAGACUUCACCUACUCAUCACUGCGCUGACAUUCUGGCAGAAGAAACUGGUACUUGAAAUGAUCUAAAGGAGCAGAUCAGCCUUGGCCUGAGAGUUCGAGCUGGUACACGGAUGGCAGUAGCCUUGCAGUUGAAGGACUGAGAUGGCAAAUGUGAUAGCCAAGAAGAUCCUAAAAGAAAUCUUCCUAAGGUAAUGGACCUGCCUUUGUUGCCCAGGUAAAUCAGGGACUGGGCAAGGUAUUAGAGAUUGGUUAGAAGUUACAUUGUGCAUACAGGCUCAAAAGCUCAGGACAGGUAGAAAACAUUAAUAGAAUUCUAAAAGAGACUGGUGCAGACUUGGUGCUCCUUCCCCAUGCCCAUAACUGUCUUAAAUGAUGUGUUUAAACCUACAUGUUUUUGUAAUAAAAAUCUAUAUGCUAAGUUAAAAGGCUUGCAGGUGGUACAGAAAGAAGGCUGGUCACAAUUGGCUACAGCGAAUGAGCCGGGUACCCCAAAAGACAUCUCCCCAGUUCCAGCCAGAGAUAUGAUCUAUGUACACGUACAUCAUGCCCAGACCCUCAAGCCUUACUAGAAGGGUCCCUGCCUAGUUCUGUUUACUAUCGCUUCCUAUUCUGUUUUUGUUCUUGUAGAAAAAAGAGUAUGAUUUCUAUUCUCCUCAUACUUCUGAAAUUCUAAGAUUAGAAUUACUUAGUAGAAGAAGAGGGGAAUGAAAGGAAAUAAAACUUGGGUCAGUCAUACUUGGAUACAGGGUGAACUAUCUCUUAACUUCAUGGAAAGGUCUGUGAGGUCUGCAAGGACUGUGGGUGGUUUCACUGUUUGCAUCGGGGUGGAGCCUGCCG